rnacentral:tRNA from 1 species
GCGCCCGUAGCUCAACUGGAUAGAGCACCCGCCUUCUAAGCGGGUGGUUGACGGUUCAAGUCCGUCCGGGCGUA